AACGAACGCUGGCGGCAUGCCUAACACAUGCAAGUCGAACGAGACCUUCGGGUCUAGUGGCGCACGGGUGCGUAACGCGUGGGGACCUGCCCUUAGGUUCGGAAUAACUCCCCGACAGGGGUGCUAAUACCGGGUAAUGUCUGCGGACCAAAGAUUGGUCGCCUUUGGAUGGGCCCGCGUUGGAUUAGCUAGUUGGUAGGGUAAAAGCCUACCAAGGCGACGAUCCAUAGCUGGUCUGAGAGGAUGAUCAGCCACACUGGGACUGAGACACGGCCCAGACUCCUACGGGAGGCAGCAGUGGGGAAUAUUGGACAAUGGGCGAAAGCCUGAUCCAGCAAGGCCGCGUGAGUGAUGAAGGCCUUAGGGUUGUAAAGCUCUUUUACCCGGGAUGAUAAUGACAGUACCGGGAGAAUAAGCUCCGGCUAACUCCGUG
rnacentral:rRNA from 1 species